GAACGCUAACGGCAUGCUUAACACAUGCAAGUCGAACGGCAGCACAGCAGUAGCAAUACUGUGGGUGGCGAGUGGCGGACGGGUGAGUAAUACAUAGGAAUCUGCCUUGUAGUGGGGGAUAACCCGGGGAAACUCGGGCUAAUACCGCAUAAUCUUUACGAAGCAAAGUGGGGGACCGUAAGGCCUCAUGCUAUAAGAUGAGCCUAUGUCGGAUUAGCUAGUUGGUGGGGUAAUGGCCUACCAAGGCGACGAUCCGUAGCUGGUCUGAGAGGAUGAUCAGCCACACUGGGACUGAGACACGGCC
rnacentral:rRNA from 1 species